CGAACAGCUUGAUGCACUAUCUCCCUUCAACCCUUUGAACGAAAUGCGGCAAAAGGAAAGAAAAUCCAUGGACCGAUCCCAUCGUCUCCACCCCGUAGGAACUACGAGAUCACCCCAAGGACGCCUUCGGCAUCCAGGGGUCGCGGACCGACCAUAGAACCCUGUUCAAAAAGCGGAACGCAUUAGCUAUCCGCUCUCAGGUUGGGCAGUAAGGGUCGGAGAAGGGCAAUCACUCAUUCUUAAAACCAGCAUUCUUAAGACCAAAGAGUCGGGCGGAAAGGGGGGCUAUCCGUUUCCGGUUCUCCUCUCUCCUAGGGUUUCCUCAUCAGGGAUCCUGGGGAAGAGGAUCAAGUUGGCCCUUGCGAACAGCUUGAUGCACUAUCUCCCUUCAACCCUUUGAACGAAAUGCGGCAAAAGGAAAGAAAAUCCAUGGACCGACCCCAUCGUCUCCACCCCGUAGGAACUACGAGAUCACCCCAAGGACGCCUUCGGCAUCCAGGGGUCGCGGACCGACCAUAGAACCCUGUUCAAAAAGCGGAAUGCAUUAGCUAUCCGCUCUCAGGUUGGGCAGUAAGGGUCGGAGAAGGGCAAUCACUCAUUCUUAAAACCAGCAUUCUUAAGACCAAAGAGACGGGCGGAAAGGGGGGCUCUCCGUUCCCGGUUCUCCUGUAGCUGGAUCCUCCGGAACCACAAGAAUCCUUAGUUAGAAUGGGAUUCCAACUCAGCACC